UACGUAGGGGGCAAGCGUUGUCCGGAUUCACUGGGCGUAAAGGGCGCGCAGGCGGCCGAUUCAGUCCGCCGUGAAAGCCCGCGGCUCAACCGCGGGCGGUCGGCGGGGACGGGUUGGCUUUGAGGCCGGUAGGGGAGCAUGGAAUUCCCGGUGUAGUGGUGAAAUGCGUAGAUAUCGGGAGGAACACCAGUGGCGAAGGCGAUGCUCUGGGCCGUGCCUGACGCUGAGGCGCGAAAGCGUGGGGAGCGAACCGG
rnacentral:rRNA from 1 species